GCGCCAGUAGUCUAAUGGUAGGACAUUAGCCUUCCAAGCUAAUGAUCUGGGUUCGAGUCCCGGCUGGCGCA
rnacentral:tRNA from 1 species